GAUGAACGCUGGCGGCGUGCCUAAUACAUGCAGGUCGAGCGAACAGACGAGGAGCUUGCUCCUCUGACGUUAGCGGCGGACGGGUGAGUAACACGUGGAUAACCUACCUAUAAGACUGGGAUAACUUCGGGAAACCGGAGCUAAUACCGGAUAAUAUAUUGAACCGCAUGGUUCAAUAGUGAAAGACGGUUUUGCUGUCACUUAUAGGUGGAUCCGCGCCGCAUUAGCUAGUUGGUAAGGUAACGGCUUACCAAGGCAACGAUGCGUAGCCGACCUGAGAGGGUGAUCGGCCACACUGGAACUGAGACACGGUCCAGACUCCUACGGGAGGCAGCAGUAGGGAAUCUUCCGCAAUGGGCGAAAGCCUGACGGAGCAACGCCGCGUGAGUGAUGAAGGUCUUCGGAUCGUAAAACUCUGUUAUUAGGGAAGAACAAAUGUGUAAGUAACUAUGCACGUCUUGACGGUACCUAAUCAGAAAGCCACGGCUAACUACGUG
rnacentral:rRNA from 1 species